AAGUCGUAACAAGGUUUCCGUAGGUGAACCUGCGGAAGGAUCAUUAACACGUAUCCAACGUUAAACCCCCCGUGAACCUUCAGUGCGCUCGCACUUUCUUAGAAAAGGUAGCAAUCCCUGGUAAAUCAUUGCCGAACAGUUUUGAUUCAGGGACUUCUGCGUAGACUGUGCUUGAGCGUGAGGCUUGUGCGGCCACCAAACUCGAACAACUGUUAACAAUGGAUAUCUUGGUUCUC
rnacentral:misc_RNA from 1 species